rnacentral:rRNA from 1 species
UACAGAGGUGGCAAGCGUUGUUCGGAAUUACUGGGCGUAAAGGGCGCGUAGGCGGCCUUCUAAGUCAGACGUGAAAUCCCCCGGCUUAACCUGGGAACUGCGUCUGAUACUGGGAGGCUUGAGUAUGGGAGAGGGAUGUAGAAUUCCAGGUGUAGCGGUGAAAUGCGUAGAUAUCUGGAGGAAUACCGGUGGCGAAGGCGGCAUCCUGGACCAUAACUGACGCUGAGGAGCGAAAGCGUGGGGAGCGAACAGG